UCACAGUGUUGUUGAUAAGAGAGUAAACUUGUAUGGCUUACCCCCUGUCCCCCGCCCCUCAUAUUGUGACCAGUUAUAUAUAUAUCAUAGAUAAGUAAUAUAUUUAUUUUAUAUCCGUGGUAAAGACCUUCAGUAUUAUUUUGCUGUUAGAUGUUUAUCGCCCUUUUUUUGUUGACUUGUUUCUAUUAAAAUUUACAAUUUUAUUUGUACUAAAUACUUUAUUAUUAUCACUAGUGAUUGAUCAUCAGUUUGAUUUGUAAUUCUUGUUUAAGGGUGUAUAGUAUACACUAUAAAAGAAAAAUAUUGACAAAUUAUAAAAAAGUAAAUAUAUACAUUAUAUAUAUAUAAAAUGAGCUAUCCAGGAUAUCCACCAAACAAUCAGGUAAGUUAUUUCACUAGAUUAUAAAAUAAAGAAAACAAAAUUUAAAAUAACUGUAAUUGUAAUAAUUAAUAUUAGUACCUAAUUAAAUUAUUUUUCUAUCUGAUAUUUUUGUUAGGGAUACCCAGGCCAAUCCGGAAUACCUGGACAAACAGGAAUGCCAGGAAUGCCUGGACAAACUGGAAUGCCUGGAAUGCCUGGACAGACUGGAAUGCCUGGCUCCCAACCUUCUUAUUCACAAUAUCCAGCUGGUAAUAUUGGACAACAAGGUUAUCCAAUGCCAAAUACUUAUCCAACAGGUCAACCUAGUUAUCCUCAACAAAGUCCCUACCCACAAGUAGGUCAAUAUCCACCACAACAACCUAGUCAAUAUCCACCACAACAACCUAGUCAAUAUCCACCACAACAACCUGGUCAAUAUCCACCACAACAACCUGGUCAAUAUCCAUCACAACAACCUGGUCAAUAUCCAUCACAACAACCUGGUCAAUAUCCACCAAAUUCUGGUUCAUAUGUUCCAAAUCCAUCCAUGUAUCCGACAUCGUCUAUGCCAGGACAGUAUCCUCCGUCCCCAUAUCAAUCACAAGCUACUUCAUAUCCAAAUGUCCAACCACAGUCCAACUAUCCAUCAAAAUCUGUGAAUCCUUACACUCAACAAGCCGGUGGAUAUGGAGGUGGCUCUCAAAUUCCAUCACAAGCAUCAUAUCCACCUGUUAGCUCUCCUGCUCAUUAUCAACCAGUGAAUAGCGCUCCUGCACAGAAGAAGGUGAGAUGUUAUUAUUUUUUUGAAAACAAAUAUUAAUAUAUAAUAUAUGUAUAAUUAUUAUUAUUCCUAUUUUUAUAUUUUAAUAGAAGUAUAUAAGUUUUUCAAGUUUAUAGUUAUUUCCUAAAUUGUGAAACCCCUUUUAUAAUUUAAGUAGUAUUAACUUGUAUUAACUAUCUUUACAAAAUACUUAAAAAAUAAUUUAAUUUUUAUGAAUAAUGAAAUAAAAAAUAUUAAGUAAACUUAAGCAAUACCUAUUUUAUUUACAAAAAAAAAAAAAAAAACAUUUAGCUCUAAUAAAUUUAAUGCAAUAAGAUUAAUUAACCUAAUUAACCAUUAUUUUAAUUAACAUUAAAAGUCUAUUGUGUAAAUUCUGAUAAUAGGAUGAUUAAUUUAAUAAUUUUGCUAUUUAUAUUUUGUACGCCCUUUUUUAAGUUAACAGUAAUAUUGAGAAUAUUAAAAUGAAAAAUAUAUGUGUUAUAUACAGGUGUUCCACAAAUAUAUACUCAUUGUAAUAUCUCCAAAGAUAAUAAAAUUACGUUUUUCUUUUACUCACAAGGAUGUGGACUACAAAUAUUUAUAUUUUAAUUAAUUUAGUAUGUUUAGAAAAAAAACUUUUUAUUUUAUUAUUUUUAAAUAAUUUGAAGAUAGCCAUUAUAUAGAGUAAAUUUUUUUGAAAUUUUUACUUAUCAACAUUUUAUUUUUAUUAAAUUCAUGAUUUUUAAUAAAUUAUUUAAAGUUCAUAGUAAUCAUAAUCAAUUAGGGUAUGUGAAUACAGCUUGCUGCAUAAUUAUAAGUACUUUUUUCUGAACUUUAAAAAAUUAUUAAAAAUCACAAAUUUAAUAAAAAUUAGAAGUUAAAACAAAAUUUUCAGAAAAAUCAAUAAACUUAAAAAUUAACAUCAUAUUUUUGAAAAUAAUAAAUCGAAGAGAAUUUUUUAAUUUUUUUACCAAAACAUAAGAAUUAUCCUUAAAAAAAAAAAAUUUGAUUAUGACCUUAGGACACUCUGUAUAAUACACUUUUUUCAUAGAAAUAAAACUUAUUUGCUUAUUAAAGGGUUAAUUAUAAUAAUGAAAAAAAAAAUAGUAAACAAUAGCUGUUUUUAAUUUAUAAGUUUAUGAUAAAAAUAAAUAAUUAUUCUUAUUUAGUCUAAUCCAACACUACGCCCAGCAAAUCCAUUUGAUGCACAACGUGAUGCAGAAAUAUUGCGUAAAGCUAUGAAAGGAAUUGGAACAGAUGAAAAAGCAAUCAUACAGGUCUUGGCUCACAGAGUCAAUUCUCAACGACAGCAAAUUGCUAUUCAAUUUAAGACUAUGUAUGGCAAAGUAAGUGGUUGGAAUAAUAAUCAUCGUAUUUGUUGUUGGAUAUAAUUUUUUACUAAAAUAAUUAUAUUAUAUUUUUUUGAAUAAAAUGUUUGAUUAUAUCAACCAGGAUUUAAUAGACAAUCUGAAAAGUGAAUUGGGUGGAAAGUUAGAAGACUUAAUUGUAGCACUCAUGACACCAACUUAUGAUUUUCUUGCUAGUGAAUUACAUUAUGCUGUUGAUGGUAUUGGCACUUGCGAAGAAACAAUAAUUGAAAUUAUAUGCUCGGCGUCUAAUGCUGAGAUCAAUAAUAUAAAAAUGGCAUACCACAAAUGUCAGUUAAUUUAAUUUUAAACAAAUGUUAAUUUAUUUAUUUUAUAAACUGAUAUAAAUAUUAUCAUUUUCUAUAGUAUUUGGUAAUGAUUUAGAGAAAGAUCUAAAAGGAGAAACAUCUGGGACUUUCCGCAGACUAUUAGUUUCUCUUUGUCAGGUUUGUUAUUUUUUAAAUAAUAACAUAUAUUUUUUUUCAAAUGAUAAUAAUUAUUUAUAUAGGGACGCCGCAGUGAAAACACACAUAUUGAUGUUGCAUCUGCUCAAACUGAUGCACAAAACUUGUUACAAGCAGGUAAAUAGUUGAAAAAUGUAUAUAAUUAUAAAUUAUUAAUUAUACAUGAAAAUAUUUAAUUAACUAUUGUAAUUUUAUAGGUCAACUUCAGUUUGGUACUGAUGAAUCUACAUUCAACAUGAUUUUGUGCAGUCGUAGUUACUCUCAAUUAGAACAGGUAUUUUUGGAAUAUCACCGUUUAACUGGUCGAGAUUUCGAAGACACUAUCAAGAGUGAAUUUAGUGGAGACAUUGAAAAGGGACUACGAGCAAUUGGUAUGAACUUUUAUAAGUAUUAUUUAGAUUUUCUCUCUUAAAUAUUUUAUACUAUAAUAGCAAAUGUAUUGUAUAUUUUUUUAGUUAAAUCUGUAAGAAACAAAAGUGCAUAUUAUGCUAAACGCUUACAUGAAUGUAUGGAUGGUUUUGGUACACACGACAGAGCUUUGAUUCGUAUUGUUGCUACUCGUUGCGAAAUAGAUAUGGUUGACAUAAAAAAUGCUUACAUGUCAAUGUAUGGAAAGUCUUUGGAAGCUGAUAUUGCGGUAAGGAUUUUAUUUCAUUAAUUUUUGUACUUUUGUACUAAAUUCUAUUAUUUAAAUUAUUAUUUUCCAAAAUUAACAUUAGUAUGCAUAGUCAAAAAAAAAAAAUCUAUUUAUCAUUUAACACAAAAAUACAUACAUGAAUGUAGUCACAUUAUUUUAUAAAAAUUAUUUUGCUAAAUUCAAACUGUUUAUAGUUUAUAUAAAAGUAUACCCGCUAAACUAAUUUACAAUUAAAUUGAUGUUAUCUUUUUUUAAUCAAUAUUAAGAAUUAAAUAAUUAAUUUCUACAAUGGUUUACAAAAAAUAUUAAAAUUGCAUUAUCUUUUGUUUAUGUCAAUCAACAGUCUGAUACAUUUAUGGUGAGUUGUGCAAUUAUAGUAGAUGAAAAAUAGUUUACCAAGUCUAUCUUGGUUGAUUACCAAACUAUUUUAUACAAUUUAUAAGCAAUUUUGCAUGAAAUUAUUACUGUAGCCUAAAAAUGAUUAGUUAAUAUUAUUGAAGAUUUAUUAUCUAUUUUUAACCAUUUAAAAAAAAAAAAUUGAUUAUUAUUUUAUUGAAAUAUGUAUUUAUUGUAUUUGUUAAUGUUAUUUUGCUAUACUAUUUAUGUUUUAGAGUGAUACAUCGGGUGAUUACAAAAAAUGUCUUACAGCUUUGGUUGUCGGCUAAAAGUCUAAUUUAUAAUAUUUAUAUUCAUUUACUACAAUUUUAAAGCUUUUGCAUUUUUUUUUUAAAUUCUAAAAUCUAUAAUAAAUAUUUUUAUAGUUUUAAAUUUAAAAAUAUUAUUUGCUGGUAAUUAAUAUUUAUAUUACAAUUUUUAAAAAUUAUUUUAAUUAUUACAUCUAUUCUUACAUAGUUUAUACAAUUUUACAUAAUUACUAAUUUUUGCAUAGUAAAGAAACAAUUGGUUAUUCAAAUUUAUAUUGUGUUUACACUAACUUACAUCUGUAUGUUGUUAUAAGCAAAAUUGCUGAGAACCUGAUAAAAAAAUUUGAAUAUUUUAUUAUCAACUGCAAUUAUAUAUUAUAUUUUUAAAUUUCAUAUUUAACAUUUUUACAUUACUAGAUCUAAACAUUCGAAUAUACACUAAAGGCAUUUUUAUGCAUUUGCUUGUUUAAAUAGGAGGGUAUUAUAUUAUAUAUAUUAUACUUAUUAGUAUUUAAGCGUGUUUAUUAUAUAGAAUCCAAUUGAAUUUGUUUUUGCCAAACAUAAAUUUUGUGUCAAAUAAUUAUUACAUAAUCUUUAAACCGUGUAAGUUAAUUUUACAUUUUCUAUUGUAUAUUUUAAAUGUUGAACAAAUUUUAUUCUUAUAGUUCUUUUGUUAUAAACAUGUUUAUAAUAACAGCCUGUUAAUAUGUUUAAAAUAUUUUAUAGAUAGAUAAUUCACUGAAAGAUUUUAAUAGAGCACUUACACAGGCAAUUUAAAAAAAUCAAUUCAAAAUAUAUAGAAUAUUUAUAAAUCUAAUUUUGAUUUCCUUAGAGAAAUGUUAUUUAACUUGUUUAACUAUAUUCAGAUUUAAAUCUAAAGGAAUACUAAAUUGAACUCAUGUUGUUUAAUGAAUAUGCAAACUAUGUGCCUAUUUUCUAUUUUUGAUGUAUUAUUUGAAAUAAAAUUAAAAGACUUCAACAAAUUUAUAUUGUAUACAUAUUAAAUAUAUUCUUCUAAAGAUAUUAGUUUUUUAUAAAUUAUAAACACAAUAGUUCUCAAUCAGGGUAAAAGUAUGUACCACUUAUUAAUACAAUGCAAACUAUAAUAAAUAAAUUGUUUUGAUCUUGUUGACCAUUGAAACUUAAAAGUCUUGAAAUUGGUGCUUAAUCAUUUAAUAUUAUAUUCAGAAUAUUAACAUGUUUGAUAUAAAAAAUGUUUUUACAGAGGAUAUUAUUUUAUAUUUAUAACUUAAAUGUAUUGUAUUAUAAUUAAAGAUUUAUAUGAUGACUGUUCAGAUUUCUUAUAAUUAUAUAAGCAUAAUUUCUAUGCAGACAUUUAACUCUGGUUCUCGGUAAUCUAAAAUUUGGUAUUAUAUAAUUGUAAACGUUAAGUUAACUUUUAAUCUCAUUUAACUCCAAAAACUAUAUUCUAUGUUGCAUGAAAUUUGUUAAUAAUAUUUUAGCUUGUUUUUUUUAAUACUAUAUUGUAUACAUAAUAUGUAAUGGCUUAGGACAGUGGCAUUGCUAAUCUAAUAGUAUAGAAGAUUACUUAUUAUGUUAAAGCUUUUGAUCAAAAAUAACAUUUUUAUUUAAUUAUAUUAUCCAUUACCUAAAAAAAAAUUGAUCAAUUUUAAUAAUAUUCUUUGUUAUGCCACUGGCUUAUUAUAUUUCAUUGUUAUAGUAUUUAUUAAUUAUUCUUGUUAUUAUAUUAUAAACAUUUUUUUUUUUUGUUAUAUUUAUUUAUUCAUUUUUUAUUUUAUUUUUUGCAAUGGUUUUUAUGUUUUUAUGUUAUUUAUCAUAAUUAUAAUAAAAUUAAAUUCUUCAAUGAGUGUUGAAAUUUUAUGAGUUUUUAUUUCUGUUAUAGUCCUGUAAGAAUAUAAACAAGUCAAU